AUAUGGUCAAGUGAAGAAGCGCAUACGGUGGAUGCCUUGGCAGUCAGAGGCGAUGAAAGACGUGGUAGCCUGCGAAAAGCUUCGGGGAGUCGGCAAACAGACUUUGAUCCGGAGAUGUCUGAAUGGGGGAACCCAGCCAUCAUAAGAUGGUUAUCUUGUACUGAAUACAUAGGUGCAAGAGGCGAACCAGGGGAACUGAAACAUCUAAGUACCCUGAGGAAAAGAAAUCAACCGAGAUUCCCUUAGUAGUGGCGAGCGAACGGGGACUAGCCCUUAAGUGGCUUUGAGAUUAGCGGAACGCUCUGGAAAGUGCGGCCAUAGUGGGUGAUAGCCCUGUACGCGAAAAUCUCUUAGUCAUGAAAUCGAGUAGGACGGGGCACGAGAAACCUUGUCUGAAUAUGGGGGGACCAUCCUCCAAGGCUAAAUACUACUGACUGACCGAUAGUGAACUAGUACCGUGAGGGAAAGGCGAAAAGAACCCCGGAGAGGGGAGUGAAAUAGAUCCUGAAACCGUAUGCGUACAAGCAGUGGGAGCCCACUUUGUUGGGUGACUGCGUACCUUUUGUAUAAUGGGUCAGCGACUUAUUUUCAGUGGCGAGCUUAACCGAAUAGGGGAGGCGUAGCGAAAGCGAGUCUUAAUAGGGCGUCUAGUCGCUGGGAAUAGACCCGAAACCGGGCGAUCUAUCCAUGGGCAGGUUGAAGGUUGGGUAACACUAACUGGAGGACCGAACCGACUACCGUUGAAAAGUUAGCGGAUGACCUGUGGAUCGGAGUGAAAGGCUAAUCAAGCUCGGAGAUAGCUGGUUCUCCUCGAAAGCUAUUUAGGUAGCGCCUCAUGUAUCACUGUAGGGGGUAGAGCACUGUUUCGGCUAGGGGGUCAUCCCGACUUACCAAACCGAUGCAAACUCCGAAUACCUACAAGUGCCGAGCAUGGGAGACACACGGCGGGUGCUAACGUCCGUCGUGAAAAGGGAAACAACCCAGACCGUCAGCUAAGGUCCCAAAGUCAUGGUUAAGUGGGAAACGAUGUGGGAAGGCUUAGACAGCUAGGAGGUUGGCUUAGAAGCAGCCACCCUUUAAAGAAAGCGUAAUAGCUCACUAGUCGAGUCGGCCUGCGCGGAAGAUGUAACGGGGCUCAAACCAUGCACCGAAGCUACGGGUAUCACUUAGGUGAUGCGGUAGAGGAGCGUUCUGUAAGCCUGUGAAGGUGAGUUGAGAAGCUUGCUGGAGGUAUCAGAAGUGCGAAUGCUGACAUGAGUAACGACAAUGGGUGUGAAAAACACCCACGCCGAAAGACCAAGGUUUCCUGCGCAACGUUAAUCGACGCAGGGUUAGUCGGUCCCUAAGGCGAGGCUGAAAAGCGUAGUCGAUGGAAAACAGGUUAAUAUUCCUGUACUUCUGGUUAUUGCGAUGGAGGGACGGAGAAGGCUAGGCCAGCUUGGCGUUGGUUGUCCAAGUUUAAGGUGGUAGGCUGAGAUCUUAGGUAAAUCCGGGAUCUUAAGGCCGAGAGCUGAUGACGAGUUGCCAUUAGGCGACGAAGUGGUUGAUGCCAUGCUUCCAAGAAAAGCUUCUAAGCUUCAGGUAACCAGGAACCGUACCCCAAACCGACACAGGUGGUUGGGUAGAGAAUACCAAGGCGCUUGAGAGAACUCGGGUGAAGGAACUAGGCAAAAUGGCACCGUAACUUCGGGAGAAGGUGCGCCGGUGAGGGUGAAGGACUUGCUCCGUAAGCCCAUGCCGGUCGAAGAUACCAGGCCGCUGCGACUGUUUAUUAAAAACACAGCACUCUGCAAACACGAAAGUGGACGUAUAGGGUGUGACGCCUGCCCGGUGCCGGAAGGUUAAUUGAUGGGGUUAGCUAACGCGAAGCUCUUGAUCGAAGCCCCGGUAAACGGCGGCCGUAACUAUAACGGUCCUAAGGUAGCGAAAUUCCUUGUCGGGUAAGUUCCGACCUGCACGAAUGGCGUAACGAUGGCGGCGCUGUCUCCACCCGAGACUCAGUGAAAUUGAAAUCGCUGUGAAGAUGCAGUGUAUCCGCGGCUAGACGGAAAGACCCCGUGAACCUUUACUAUAGCUUUGCACUGGACUUUGAAUUUGCUUGUGUAGGAUAGGUGGGAGGCUUUGAAGCGUGGACGCCAGUUCGCGUGGAGCCAACCUUGAAAUACCACCCUGGCAACUUUGAGGUUCUAACUCAGGUCCGUUAUCCGGAUCGAGGACAGUGUAUGGUGGGUAGUUUGACUGGGGCGGUCUCCUCCUAAAGAGUAACGGAGGAGUACGAAGGUGCGCUCAGACCGGUCGGAAAUCGGUCGUAGAGUAUAAAGGCAAAAGCGCGCUUGACUGCGAGACAGACACGUCGAGCAGGUACGAAAGUAGGUCUUAGUGAUCCGGUGGUUCUGUAUGGAAGGGCCAUCGCUCAACGGAUAAAAGGUACUCCGGGGAUAACAGGCUGAUACCGCCCAAGAGUUCAUAUCGACGGCGGUGUUUGGCACCUCGAUGUCGGCUCAUCACAUCCUGGGGCUGAAGCCGGUCCCAAGGGUAUGGCUGUUCGCCAUUUAAAGUGGUACGCGAGCUGGGUUUAGAACGUCGUGAGACAGUUCGGUCCCUAUCUGCCGUGGACGUUUGAGAUUUGAGAGGGGCUGCUCCUAGUACGAGAGGACCGGAGUGGACGAACCUCUGGUGUUCCGGUUGUCACGCCAGUGGCAUUGCCGGGUAGCUAUGUUCGGGAAAGAUAACCGCUGAAAGCAUCUAAGCGGGAAACUUGCCUCAAGAUGAGAUCUCACUGGAACCUUGAGUUCCCUGAAGGGCCGUCGAAGACUACGACGUUGAUAGGUUGGGUGUGUAAGCGCUGUGAGGCGUUGAGCUAACCAAUACUAAUUGCCCGUGAGGCUUGACCA
rnacentral:rRNA from 1 species